AUGGAGGAGCCACCGGAGCGAGGAAAGAGGGGAAGAACUGCCGGCGAGGGGAGCUCGAGGCCAAGAAAAAAGAACCAUCGGUGGGGGUCAACUGCUUUGGUGGUGUCGAACCAGCCGAGAGUAGCGGCCAAUCCGCCGCCGCGAGAGCUCGCGUAUAGAUGCAUGUUUACUACUGGUCCCUUUCUUGGUGUGAGCACUUUGUUCUAUUCAGCGGCUGAGCUCACUGGGAUGGGCGGCUUGCUGACGAAUAGAUAUGUGGGAGGAGUAGAUCGGAUCCAGUACGCAGGGCUCCUUGCUGACUUGGAUACUAGUAACAUGUCCCUACGUCUCCAGAUGGUCAGAUCAGGUUCAUUACUGACGAUGAUGCAGUUAGGAUCCUAG
rnacentral:rRNA from 1 species